CUCAUCCUUGUGUGAGGAAGCGAUAGGAGAGGAUCGGACGGCGGUGAUUGGACGGGGAGAGAUCAGAUGGGCGAAACGCCUACCUUCGCGUCUGAGAGCAGCCAUCGCCAUCGCUUACUGAUACAGAAAAGGAAAACCUAGAAAAUCCUUGCUAUUGGGGCUCA